rnacentral:lncRNA from 1 species
UCCAUAUAUACUGUGGAGGCCAAGUGACUUCCUAAAAGAAAGAUGAAAUUGUAGCCACUAACAUAAUCUAGGGUUCAUGGCUUUAAAUGAGAACAAAAUAAUAAUAAGGAACAGUUAUUGAUCUCUUACUGUAUGCCUGGCUCUUGGUUAAAUUAUGUGCAUUAUCUGAUUUAAUCUUCAUGUGAGAAUCACAAAGAUCCUUAUAAGAGGGACACAGGAAUCAUCAGAGCCAGAAGAGGAGGGAGUGUGAUAACAGAAGCAGAGAAUGGAGUGACACACUUAAAGACCAAAUAAGACAACCAUCUAAAGAAGCC